GGUGGCGGAGGGAGGCUAAGGCAAAUGAGGUUGUGCUUUCAGUUACAGCACAUAUAGGGAUUGGGAAUCGGGGUAACAACUCCCUACGAACAUGUAAAUAAACUUUGAAAAAUACUUUGAAGGAAUUGGCAGAACAACUACACCUGAGACUUGGAAAGCAAAAGUCAAAAGCAGAGGAGACAAACAUUCACGCCAUUUACCAGAGACGCGAAGCUGAUUCUGUGAACUUCACAAUUCCUCCAUCAGAGGAGAGAUGGAAUGAAAUCUAUACUAUCACCACACCAUAGCUUGAGAAAGGCUCAGACUGAAGAUCACUGCUUUUAGUUCUCUGGAUGAUUCUGAAACUCCCGAGGGUAUAGAGUAAGACAGACAGUAGUCUCCAAGGUUCUCUGUGUGAGUAGAUGAAUUGAAAUGAAAGAGCAACACUUGAAAGGAGUACUUGAAGAAAAUGUUCCCGACUUGAUAUUGGAAAGAAGAAAAUUGUGAUGCCUCAUAACUGGAGACAUUAUAUAUAUUUCCAUUAUAUAAACAUAGACAAAUGACCUGCAAUAAGCUCUAAGUUGAAAGAGAGUA